UACGUAGGGUGCAAGCGUUGUCCGGAAUUAUUGGGCGUAAAGAGCUCGUAGGCGGUCUGUCGCGUCUGCUGUAAAAACUCGGGGCUUAACCCCGGGCCUGCAGUGGGUACGGGCAGACUAGAGGUAUGCAGGGGAGAACGGAAUUCCUGGUGUAGCGGUGAAAUGCGCAGAUAUCAGGAGGAACACCGGUGGCGAAGGCGGUUCUCUGGGCAUUACCUGACGCUGAGGCGCGAAAGCUAGAGGAUCGAACAUG
rnacentral:rRNA from 1 species